GGUGAUGCUGGGAUCGUGGAAUGCUCAUUCGUGUCUUCUCAGGUGACUGAACUACCAUUCUUUGCAUCAAAAGUUCGCUUAGGUCGUCAAGGUGCUGAGGAAAUCUUCCCUCUUGGGCCACUGAAUGAGUAUGAAAGGUCUGGUUUGGAGAAGGCGAAGAAAGAGUUAACUGAGAGCAUUCAAAAGGGAGUUUCUUUCAUUCGGAACUGAUUAAAUAAAAUUUGUGCGGCCAAGGGUACAAAUCUCA
rnacentral:misc_RNA from 1 species